AAGAUUAAGCCAUGCAUGUCUCAGUACAAGCCAAAUUAAGGUGAAACCGCGAAAGGCUCAUUAAAUCAGUUAUGGUUCCUUAGAUCGUACCCACAUUUACUUGGAUAACUGUGGUAAUUCUAGAGCUAAUACAUGCAAAUAGAGCUCCGACCGGAAACGGAAGGAGCGCUUUUAUUAGAUCAAAACCAAUCGGUGGCGGGUUCGCUCGUCAUCGUACAAUUUGGUGACUCUGAAUAACUUUACGCUGAUCGCACGGUCUAGCACCGGCGACGCAUCUUUCAAAUGUCUGCCUUAUCAACUGUCGAUGGUAGGUUCUGCGCCUACCAUGGUUGUAACGGGUAACGGGGAAUCAGGGUUCGAUUCCGGAGAGGGAGCCUGAGAAACGGCUACCACAUCCAAGGAAGGCAGCAGGCGCGCAAAUUACCCACUCCCGGCACGGGGAGGUAGUGACGAAAAAUAACGAUACGGGACUCAUCCGAGGCCCCGUAAUCGGAAUGAGUACACUCUAAACCCUUUAACGAGGAUCAAUUGGAGGGCAAGUCUGGUGCCAGCAGCCGCGGUAAUUCCAGCUCCAAUAGCGUAUAUUAAAGUUGUUGCGGUUAAAAAGCUCGUAGUCGAAUCUGUGUCCCGCGCCGCCGGUUCAUCGUUCGCGGUGUUAACUGGCGUGCCGCGGGACGUCCUGCCGGUGGGCUUAGCUCGCAAGGGCGGCCCAACACAAUCCCGCCGCGGUGCUCUUCAUUGAGUGUCGAGGUGGGCCGGCACGUUUACUUUGAACAAAUUAGAGUGCUUAAAGCAGGCCAAAACUUCGCCUGAAUACUGUGUGCAUGGAAUAAUGAAAUAGGACCUCGGUUCUAUUUUGUUGGUUUUCGGAACUCCGAGGUAAUGAUUAAUAGGAACGGAUGGGGGCAUUCGUAUUGCGACGUUAGAGGUGAAAUUCUUGGAUCGUCGCAAGACGGACAGAAGCGAAAGCAUUUGCCAAAAACGUUUUCAUUGAUCAAGAACGAAAGUUAGAGGUUCGAAGGCGAUCAGAUACCGCCCUAGUUCUAACCAUAAACGAUGCCAGCUAGCGAUCCGCCGACGUUCCUCCGAUGACUCGGCGGGCAGCUUCCGGGAAACCAAAGCUUUUGGGUUCCGGGGGAAGUAUGGUUGCAAAGCUGAAACUUAAAGGAAUUGACGGAAGGGCACCACCAGGAGUGGAGCCUGCGGCUUAAUUUGACUCAACACGGGAAACCUCACCAGGCCCGGACACCGGAAGGAUUGACAGAUUGAGAGCUCUUUCUUGAUUCGGUGGGUGGUGGUGCAUGGCCGUUCUUAGUUGGUGGAGCGAUUUGUCUGGUUAAUUCCGAUAACGAACGAGACUCUAGCCUGUUAACUAGGCGUAUUAGACAUCCCAAAGGCCCGCGAGUUCGGAGUUCGCUCCGUUUCUUGCGCGGUUUUUACUGUCUGCGUACAUACAAUUCUUCUUAGAGGGACAGGCGGCAUUUAGCCGCACGAGAUUGAGCAAUAACAGGUCUGUGAUGCCCUUAGAUGUUCUGGGCCGCACGCGCGCUACACUGAAGGAAUCAGCGUGUCCUCCCUGGCCGAACGGCCCGGGUAACCCGCUGAACCUCCUUCGUGCUAGGGAUUGGGGCUUGCAAUUGUUCCCCAUGAACGAGGAAUUCCCAGUAAGCGCGAGUCAUAAGCUCGCGUUGAUUACGUCCCUGCCCUUUGUACACACCGCCCGUCGCUACUACCGAUUGAAUGAUUUAGUGAGGUCUUCGGACCGGUACGCGGUGGCGUUUCGACGUCGCCGAUGUUGCUGGGAAGAUGACCAAACUUGAUCAUUUAGAGGAAGUAA
rnacentral:rRNA from 1 species